GAGACUCCUCGCUUGCCAAGGAUUCUGACAGGAGGGUUUGGGUCCCAGGCCUUCAUUCGAAAUCAUUACCACUAUUUAUUAACAUUCGUGACAUUAUAAAUCGCCAAUUCUGUGCUCUGCCACUCCGGAAUCCAGCCCAAGAUUCUGUCACAUGCCCCCGAAGCAGGGAGGCUGCUGAACAUACUCUGACACACCUGAAUAUCCAGAAAGUGGAACAAAUAAACAAGCAGCACUUUUGGGGAGUAAAGUUCCCAAGAUGUAGCAGUUAAAGAAACAGCUGGGAGGCGGGGCCCCAGGGGCUGCACACAGAGCCAGGCAGCCGGCUCCAUGGGCUGAUUUUGGAAGGCCGCUCACCUCAGAUGACAGCCCUCGUGUCCCAGCUGUCCCUGCCCACUGGGAAGCCUGCAGCCAACGUCGCGGUGGGUCAUGGCACUUUAUGAUAAGAGGAUGCAGGAAGGACGUCAGGGUCAAUGCCUGAGUGCCGAGUGCGUGAGUGUCACACUCGUGAGAGUUUAGCCCUGAGCUGUGGAUCCUGGGAACCAGGACUAGGACCUGUGGAUCCUCAUGUGGGACAGGGCUGGGAAUCUGUAUUCUAAAGCCCCCAGCCCCACGCCUGUGAUCCUAUCAGGCAAACUCGGGAGAAGCUAUACCAGCAGGGCGGCCACUUAACUAGACUACAUCUGCCCACAGAGGCGGCUCUGGAGAGGCCCCCAGAGCACAGGAUGGUCUAAGCCACCUCGCCGCACCUCCCCGCAUCACAGACGAUAAAUUUAUCAAACGCGCAAGAAGAAAAGUUAUUCUUUUAUUUAAUUUAAAAUAGCAGGACUUCGGCCCUAACCUAGAUAAUCAGGGUUGUCGUGACAGUUUUGCACAUGCCAGAAAACCUCACGCUUUGUUAUUGUGCCACCACGGGACAUUUGUAAAAACGAUUUCUUUUCUAGUUGUGGACAUAUGAGAUGCUCUGUUUGCACCCUCGGCCGCAGCCAAAUAUUAAUCUCUAUUAAAAAACAAAAACAAACAAACAAGAACAAUUCAGAAGCACAAAGAGGCAGAAGUACCUGGUAAACCUGAUUAAAACAGCAAGGGCCAGAGAGGGCUCUGAGCUGAGAACGCACUGGAAUGAGCCCCGUAGCACCUGCCUGGGCUGAGUGUGAGUAAACUCGCACAGAGGGAUGAGUGUGAGUAAACAUUAGCAGCACGGACACGGGAGGACGUGUGAGAGGGACACGCCACUGUCCUGCUCUGAUCGGAAGCAAGAGCCCCUCCUGGGCCUGCAGGAUGUGACUCCGCCCCACCCCCGCUGGAUGGAUCGAAGAGGCAAUGUUGCUGUUUUCUUUCCAGGCUAGGCCCUGGCCUUAGGCCCUGGCACUGGGACGAGCCCCUCUCCCGACCACUCGGUUUCCACCCCUGGCAAUAACACAUUCACCCAGCUGCAGGAGCGGGCUGGGCUGCAGAGGCGGCCACGAGAUGAAAAUCCCCGAGUGUGACCGUUGGGAGGUUCUUACAAAGCAGACAGACGGCGCAGCACUGGCCUCCAACAAGCGGAAUGAGACCGAGCGAGCCCUGGGCACCCGGAGAGGCUGUCCUCUGGGCCCCUGGCGCCCUCUGCCGGCCUUUCCUGGCUCCGGCCUGUCACGGGGAACUCAGGUCUGGCCCAGAGGCCACGCCCAGCCGGCCGUCUGAGCCAAGGACUCCAGGGCAGGCCUUUUUCCAGCAUCAUUCCUCCGUGGCCCAUAUUCAACCUCAGCUGUGAAUUGUUUGCUUUUUUGAAGCUUCCUGAAUGUCUGCUCCACUCUAG